rnacentral:rRNA from 1 species
AACGAACGCUGGCGGCAUGCCUAACACAUGCGAGUCGAACGAGGGCUUCGGGCUUAGUGGCGCACGGGUGCGUGACGGGUGGGAAAAUGCCUUUAAGUUUGGAUUAACUUCGCGGAUGGGGUGCUAAUACCGGAUCAUGUAUCCCGUCCAAAGGUUUAUCGAAUUUGGGUGGGCUUGCGUUGGAUCGGCUAGUUGGUAGGGUAAAAGGCUACAACGGGGACGUUGGAUAGCUGGUUUGAGAGGAUGCUCAGCGACACUGGCACUGAGACACGGUCCAGACUCCUGCGGGAGGCAGCAGUGGGGAAUAUUGGACAAUGGGCGAAAGCCUGAACCAGCAAGGCCGCGUGAGUGAUGAAGGCCUUAGGGUUGUAAAGCUCUUUUACCCGGGAUUAUAAUGACGGUACCGGGAGAAUAAGCACCGGCUAACUCCGUG